AGGAUGAACGCUGGCGGCGUGCCUAACACAUGCAAGUCGAACGUCCUGUCUCGCAAGAGGCAGGGAGUGGCGGACGGGUGAGUACCACGUGGGUUAUCUACCGUGAGGUGAGGAAUACCGGCGAGAAAUCGCCGACAAGACCGCAUAGGCUCGAUGCAAGUCGAGCAAAGCUCGCUCGCAAGAGGGAGCGCCACACGAGGAGCCUGCGCCCGAUUAGCUGGCUGGUGGAGUAAUGGUUCACCAGGGCGACGAUCGGUAGCUGGUCUGAGAGGACGAUCAGCCACACUGGGAUUGAGAACGGCCCAGACUCCUACGGGGGGCAGCAGUGAGGAAUUUUCGUCAAUGGGGGCAACCCUGAACGAGCAACGCCGCGUGCAGGAAGAAGGUUUUCGGAUCGUAAACUGCUUUUCUCGGGGAAGAGAACGGACGGUACCCGAGGAAGAAGCCCGGCUAACUACGCGCCAGCAGCCGCGGU
rnacentral:rRNA from 1 species